rfam:Myotis lucifugus cont2.25890, whole genome shotgun sequence.
GAGCUGGCUUUAGCUCAGCAGUUCCUUCGAGUCAAGCCAGUUUGCCUGUUAAUCACUCUUGCUUGCAAAUUUGAGACCUGAGGGCACUCUCCAAUCCUUAA